UUCGCUGACGAGUGGCGGACGGGUGAGUAAUGUCUGGGAAACUGCCUGAUGGAGGGGGAUAACUACUGGAAACGGUAGCUAAUACCGCAUAACGUCGCAAGACCAAAGAGGGGGACCUUCGGGCCUCUUGCCAUCGGAUGUGCCCAGAUGGGAUUAGCUAGUAGGUGGGGUAACGGCUCACCUAGGCGACGAUCCCUAGCUGGUCUGAGAGGAUGACCAGCCACACUGGAACUGAGACACGGUCCAGACUCCUACGGGAGGCAGCAGUGGGGAAUAUUGCACA
rnacentral:rRNA from 1 species